rnacentral:rRNA from 1 species
UAAGGAAUAUUGGUCAAUGGACGCAAGUCUGAACCAGCCAUGCCGCGUGGAGGAUGACGGUCCUCUGGAUUGUAAACUUCUUUUAUUUGGGAAGAAAACCUCUGAUUAUUCGGAGCUUGACGGUACCAGAUGAAUAAGCACCGGCUAACUCCGUGCCAGCAGCCGCGGUAAUACGGAGGGUGCAAGCGUUAUCCGGAUUCACUGGGUUUAAAGGGUGCGUAGGCGGAUAGGUAAGUCCGUGGUGAAAUCCCGGGGCUUAACCUCGGAAUUGCCCUCAAAACUGCACGUCUUGAGACCGAGAGAGGUGAGGGGAAUUCCUAGUGUAGAGGUGAAAUUCGUAGAUAUUAGGAAGAACACCAGUGGCGAAGGCGCCUUACUGGCUCGGUACUGACGCUGAGGUACGAAAGCGUGGGGAGCAAACA